GAAGUUGUGCCUUAACCCAAAAGGGUGUUCCUGUGGUAAACUGUGUACUCUAUAAAUGUUCUCCAAAGCUAGAAUUUUCUUGGUUUAUGCAAAUGUACAGCUGAGAAUAAUUUUGUGGGAUAUGUUGCAGGGGUGGGGUUGAAAAAUUCAUGGUACUUAUCUAUUACCAGUUCUUUGUGUUUUAAGUACUUAGCCUUUAUUUUUUUUUCCUUUCAGCAUUUUCUUUUGUUAACUGGAUUCCCAUACUGGCUGUUGCUGAGGGGGUUGGGGAAGUCCUGAUCUGACCUGAAUUUUUUAAAACAAUUUUUUAGCAUUUUCUUUUGGAGACCACAAAUCAUAUUGCAAGUCAACAACAUCUGGGUGUUAGUGGGACAUUUCUAUUUUAAGAGGCUUAGAAAAGGAGGUAAAAAAGAAGGAAGUUGGAAGUUAGGAAGGAGCAAUGAAAGCAAAGCACCCACUUUCACAUCUUACCAGACAAAGCCCCUCCCUGCCAAGUUCCUUUCUGGUGGGAGAUCAGGGCAUGGCUCAUGCAAUCACCAGCUAAGAAAGGAACUGAGACUUCUCUUCAUUUGUUGUUUUUUCCUUCCCCACCUUUCCCUAGAAACUAUUAGACUGCCACACUGUCCCGUUGUGUGACACGGGACACUUUAAGUGACAGGGUAGACAAAAGCUGGAACAAAAGAGCCUCUAUUAAGAUUACAUGAAGCAGAUGACAUUUGAAGCCCAAGCCUUUUUAGAAGCUGUGCAAUUCUUCCGACAGGAGAAGGGUCACUAUGGUUCCUGGGAAAUGAUCACUGGGGAUGAAAUCCAGAUCCUGAGUAACCUGGUGAUGGAGGAGCUCCUGCCCACUCUUCAGAUAGACCUGCUGCCUAAGAUGAAGGGGAAGAAGAAUGACAGAAAGAGG
rnacentral:sRNA from 1 species